rnacentral:pre_miRNA from 1 species
AACAUACUCCAUCCGUCCCAAAAUUCUUGUCUUAGAUUUGUCUAAAUACGGAUGUAUCUAGUUACGUUUUAGUGUUAGAUACAUCUGUAUCUAGACAAAUAUAAGACAAGAAUUUUGGGACGGAGGAAGUAUUGA